rnacentral:rRNA from 1 species
GAUGAACGCUGGCGGCGUGCUUAACACAUGCAAGUCGAACGGAAAGGCCCUGCUUUUGUGGUGUGCUCGAGUGGCGAACGGGUGAGUAACACGUGAGUAACCUGCUCUUGACUUUGGGAUAACUUCAGGAAACUGGGGCUAAUACCGGAUAGGAGCUCCUGUUGCAUGGUGGGGGGUGGAAAGUCUCGGCGGUUGGGGAUGGACUCGCGGCUUAUCAGCUUGCUGGUUGGGUAGUGGCUUACCAAGGCUUUGACGGGUAGCCGGCCUGAGAGGGUGACCGGCCACAUUGGGACUGAGAUACGGCCCAGACUCCUACGGGAGGCAGCAGUGGGGAGUAUUGCACAAUGGGCGGAAGCCUGAUGCAGCGACGCCGCGUGCGGGAUGACGGCCUUCGGGUUGUGAACCGCUUUCGCCUGUGACGAAGCGUGAGUGACGGUAAUGGGUAAAGAAGCACCGGCUAACUACGUG